CUUCGCUAUAUAUGCAAGUUUUUCCGGUAUGUAUCAGGUGAUUUCAAACCUAUUAUAUUUUGUCAAUAUUUAUUCUGUUGCCUUCACCACCCACUUAAUCUUUCGACCUGUUCUAAUAUUCUUAUAUGCUGUUAUGAUAACUGGUUCUAUUUCAUGGGUUUAAAAUCAAUGUUGCUUUCUUUAUGGAUAAAAGGAAAAUACAAUUAAUUGAAGCCCAGGAACCAAAAAUUGCUUAAAAGAAAACAUGACCUGAUAUCUGAUAUCAAAGUAAAUGGUUCCUUCUUUCAGCUACUUAUCUAAUUUAUUGUAAUGCUUAAUUGUGCCCAUUUUGGAUCAAAUAAACAAAUUCAGCAUGCAGAUAGAAGUGUUUCUUCUCCAGAUUGAAGGCCUCUUCAAGCAUUGCCUUCUUAUUAAUGCGAAAGAGAGCCAGUCCAUGUUCCGAUGUUCCUAUCCCAUCUGAGGGAGCAACUAGCCAUCCAACAAUUUCUGGAAGAAGAACCGUGAUUCCUCCUUUCCCCAUUCCUUUAUUUAGGCUAGACACUGCAUUUUACCCAUAGCUGCAUAUUUUUUUUCUAUCAAUAUUCCUUCAUUUGUGCUAAAAAUAGAUAGUGUGCAAAAGUAUUUCUUGAAAUAUGUAGCGGGUAGGUUUGAGGUUUCACUGCUACCAUUAUUACAGAUUAAUUGACAGUGUAGUCGACAGGUUUCAUUGCUAACAUAAUUAGUAAACCUUUGCAAUUAGAAAUCCAUAUUUCCAAGUGUUAGUAGCAAAAGCAACGUUAUGUUUCUUGGAUUGCAUCUACUGUAAGCCAAUAUCAAUCCGCCUAUCAAUCUGCCUUGCUUUGAUGUCCUAAAGUGUUGGACUGUGAAAUUAAUACGUGCUACUAUUUCUGCUAUGAAAUAUGAUGGAUAUACUUUUGGUGAUAUGACUCAUGAUGAUAUGAUGGCUUUGAUGAAAUGCUUAACCCUCAUGUUGUUGGACAUACAGUACUCAUCCUUGAGUUACAUUAGUGCAGUUUUAUAAUACCUGCAAAAAAAAGUAUAGUGUUAUAAUGUGCUGUGAAGCCCGCUUGCAGAGCUCUAAAUAUUCAUUUUUUACAACUGAGUUACAUUAGCUAUUAAUCUACUGUUCAGUUGUUUUUUCAAUAUAUUCAGUCAAAAGUGAUUAUCAGGUAGACCACUAGAGGCAUCCUGCCUGCUACAUGGUUGAUUCCAUAAAUGAUGAUAACCCAUUAUGUGGCAACAAUACAAAAAUUAUUUGUCAUUAUUGAAAAAUUACUAAUCAUGAUUCAUCUAUUUGGAAUGCCAAUAUAUUGAUUAAUUUGGUGUGCCUUCUUUUUUCUGCAGGUAGAAAUAGAAAUUACUAAUCAUGGUUCAUUUUCGUAUUGUUUGGUGGCUGUGGGAGGCAUGGAGGAGUUCUUAUGUCGAGAAUCGUUGAGCUGGUAUGUUAGCCAGAAAAAGUCAAGGUGCUAAAUGACAUUGGAGAGGAGGAAAAUAGUAUGCUUUGUGCUGCCAUAGUGAGAAGCGGGCUAUUGCAUGAAAGGAUAUCGCACUCCGCAAGCUCACUGAUCUUGUACCACCUUUCUACAGAUUUUACUUGCCUGUGCCAUUUUAAGGAAAAGAAAUUGGUUAUCUGUGUUUCAGGAUUCCUCCACCAAGCUGCUUCAAAGAGUCAAGCACUUCCUGUCUUAGAGCUGAUAUAGUGGCAUGGUUCAUGAUAAGUUCUGCAACCUGCAAUUGAAUUUGCGCUUUGUGGAUCGUCAUGGAUUCUACCUAUUAUGUUCGUGUUUUCAUUUGAACUCCGAAUCAAAUAUUAUAAUGCGAGCACUCAAAAGACAAAUUUUAAGUGUUAUAGGCACUGAACUGUGAUUGACUACAAUCAACCCAUCUGUACAUGCAAAAGUUACAUGAAUUUUCAAUUAGCUGUUCAAUGCUCAUGAAAA